rnacentral:siRNA from 1 species
UUUCUCUGUCGGAUCUAUCGAUCU